rnacentral:rRNA from 1 species
UACGGGGGGGGCAAGCGUUGUUCGGAUUUACUGGGCGUAAAGGGCGCGUAGGCGGCCAGCACAAGUCAGUUGUGAAAUCUCCGAGCUUAACUCGGAAAGGUCAACUGAUACUGUGCGGCUAGAGUGCGGAAGGGGUAACUGGAAUUCUUGGUGUAGCGGUGAAAUGCGUAGAUAUCAAGAGGAACACCUGCGGCGAAGGCGGGUUGCUGGGCCGACACUGACGCUGAGGCGCGAAAGCCAGGGGAGCGAACGGG